GAUGAACGCUAGCGAUAGGCUUAACACAUGCAAGUCGAGGGGUAACGUGUUGGAAGCUUGCUUCCGAUGACGACGACCGGCGGAUGGGUGCGUAACGCGUAUGCAACUUGCCUCACAGUGGAGAAUAACCCGGAGAAAUCCGGACUAAUGUUCCAUACACUCUUAAGUACGCCUGUACAUGAGAGGAAAGAUUUAUCGCUGUGAGAUAGGCAUGCGUCCUAUUAGGUAGUUGGUGAGGUAACGGCUCACCAAGCCGACCAUAGGUAGGGGUGCUGAGAGGCAGAUCCCCCACAUUGGGACUGAGACACGGCCCAAACUCCUACGGGAGGCCGCAGUGAGGAAUAUUGGUCAAUGGAGGAAACUCUGAACCAGCCAAGUCGCGUGAAGGAAGAAUGUCCUAAGGAUUGUAAACUUCUUUAGCGAGCGAGUAAGGACUUCCACGUGAUGGGAGUUUGAAAGUAGCUCGAGAAUAAGUAUCGGCUAACUCCGUGCCAGCCGCCGCGGUAAUACGGAGGAUACUAGCGUUAUCCGGAUUUUUUGGGUUUAAAAGGGGGCGCAGGUGGUCUUGCAAGUCAUUGGUGAAAAAACUGACGCUCCAACCUCAGCCUUGUCGUUGAAACCGCAAGACUUGAGAGUACAUGAUGUGGGCGGAAUGCCUCGUGUAUUGCUGAAAUGCAUAGAUAUUACGCAGAACUUCGAUCGGCAAGGCACUCCCCCAUUGUAUAUCCGACUUUCUCGUAUUGAUCGUGUGGUGCGAACAUGUCUAUAUACCCCGGUUAUUUCCUUGGCGAAUUCCUUCAUGGAAAUUAUUCCCCUCGAAGUGCCCACGCUCUCGGUGGAAGACCCCUACAAUGAUUUGUUUCCUCUUUAGUGUUGGUUCCAUUACAUGU
rnacentral:rRNA from 1 species